GGCCAGACUCCUACGGGAGGCAGCAGUGGGGGAUAUUGCACGAUGGGGGAAACCCUGAUGCAGCGACGCCGCGUGGGCGAAGAAGUAUUUCGGUAUGUAAAGCCCUAUCAGCAGGGAAGAAGAAAUGACGGUACCUGAGUAAGAAGCACCGGCUAAAUACGUGCCAGCAGCCGCGGUAAUACGUAUGGUGCAAGCGUUAUCCGGAUUUACUGGGUGUAAAGGGAGCGCAGGCGGCACGGCAAGCCUGAUGUGAAAGCCCGCGGCCCAACCGCGGGACUGCAUUGGGAACUACCGGGCUGGAGUGUCGGAGAGGCAGGCGGAAUUCCUAGUGUAGCGGUGAAAUGCGUAGAUAUUAGGAGGAACACCAGUGGCGAAGGCGGCCUGCUGGACGAUGACUGACGUUGAGGCUCGAAAGCGUGGGGAGCAAACAGGAUUAGAUACCCGGGUA
rnacentral:rRNA from 1 species